rnacentral:hammerhead_ribozyme from 1 species
AACCUUCCGAGUCCCAAAUAGGACGAAACGCGUGUCCAGGUU